rnacentral:rRNA from 1 species
GUUGUAUGGUUAAGUGACUAAGCGUACACGGUGGAUGCCUGGGCAGUCAGAGGCGAUGAAGGACGUACUAACUUGCGAUAAGCGCAGAUAAGGCAGUAAGAGCCGUUUGAGUCUGCGAUUUCCGAAUGGGGAAACCCAACUGCAUAAGCAGUUACUGUUAACUGAAUACAUAGGUUAACAGAGCAAACCGGGGGAACUGAAACA